rnacentral:rRNA from 1 species
GAUGACGCUGGCGGCGUGCCUAAUACAUGCAAGUCGAGCGAGCGGCGGACGGGUGAGUAAUGUCUGGGAAACUGCCUGAUGGAGGGGGAUAACUACUGGAAACGGUAUCUAAUACCGCAUACCCUCAGAUGUGCCCAGAUGGGAUUAGCUAGUAGGUGGGGUAAUGGCUCACCUAGGCGACGAUCCCUAACUGGUCUGAGAGGAGGACCAGCAAUACGGGAACUGCGACACGGUCAAGCCGCCUAAGGAAGGCAGCAGUGGGGAAUAUUGCACAAUGGGCGAAAGCCUGAUGCAGCCAUGCCGCGUGUGUGAAGAAGGCAUUCGGGUUGUAAAGCACUUUCAGCGAGGAGGCGUUACUCGCAGAAGAAGCACCGGCUAACUCCGUGCCAGCAGCCGCGGUAAUAC